ensembl:lncRNA
GUUUGCCACAGCCACAGGUGUCUUUGUGAUAUCAGAACAGAAAGUCCAAUUUAGACAAGCAAUGGCAGACAGCACGAAACUCUUAAAACAGGCUGUAAAAAAAUAAUGCAAACCAGGGGUAAGAGGUGUGGAUGAGUAGUAGUAAUCUGAAUGUGCCACAGGAAGAAGAAGAAGAAGAAAUUGUUGGUCUGUCAAAAUACUUUGCUUUCUUGUGUGCUAAGUUCAAAUGAUUCAUUGGUGCUUUUACCUUACAGCUACAGGUGUGGCUGACCAGAAGCAGGAGGACAGUGCCGGACCAAAGCUACAGGAGUCUGGUAAGAUUUGCUAAUGAUUGUUGCCUCGACUGCCAUAUGGGAAGGAGGUAAUGUUUAAAGUUCAGCAAGUAUUUAUUUGUUCAGCCCCUCAGCCAAAAACAGCAACUGGUGGACUGCAAUAAUGGAUAUUUAACUUGAUGGAUUUGAGAUUCAGAGCCGUCACUGUAGCUGUCAGACCACCGGCAGAUAUCUCCCAAUCUAUUUUCCAGCUGUGAGGAGCUCUUCCCGGAGCUCUACGCCAAAAGUCCAGCCAUGUUUUGUUUUUUGGGCUACACAUCUUUCCCGAUUUGUGAAUUCACCCUGAGAACAGAUCAUACAUUCGGCACACAGAAGCAACGACAUGCUGAAAUUUGAGCGACACGACUUCAAUUUUUAAUUCAUGAAAUCCUUUUUAUGUGGUUGAUUUCCUGGUAUGAUGCCAAAAAUGAAGAUGCUGGAAAAUGUUCAUUAAGCCUCAUGACUUUUUUUUUUUUUAAAAAUGUAAAAGCACUUGUGUGGAUGCAGGCUUGCUUAUUUAUUUUUUUAUAUUUAUAGAUUUGAAGACAUUAGAAGUGAAUCCAGUUUGUUACAGUGGGUCCUCAGUCACAACUGGGGUUGGGGUGGUUGAAGCAAAGUUCUCAUAUUAUUUCAUGUGUCUAAUUUAUCAUACCUUUUAACACACCAGUGUGAAACACAUCAACAAAUACAAAUUCAGAGAGAUGCUGUAUUCUGAAGGCUGCCCUUUUUUCAUAGGAGUUUGUGCAUCCCUCUUUAUUUGUUUUUGGGGUGGGGGCAGUGAUGUAGGUGCCACCAAUUAUGAUUAAAUGUCUGUUGUCACAGCUGAUGACACACACACGACUAACAUCAGUGUGUUUGAGUUUUUUACAUCCUAUUAAGAGACUACACUAAACUCCACUUAUUAUCUGGCAUCUAUUGGACAUACACAUAAAGCAAAAUGCCCUAGUAUGCAUGUACAUCUGUGUGUCAGGUCCUCUUGUGUUUUGCAGGGAGUUACAUUAUAUACUGUGCCUGUUUGAAACUGUCCGACCGCCUAAUAGCACCGAUCUCCCCUCUGAUUGCAUUUACGUUAGCCUAACUGUUGCUCCACCCUCUGAAAGUCGACAAAGAAUGUAUGAGAUAACUCCUGCUGUAGAGUGCUUCACUAGUGCCCAUCCAGUAAGGUUAAAAACUACGCUAAUAUCAGUAUGCCUUUAAAAAAAAUUAAAUAUGAAAAAGUGGCAGGGGAGCCCCAAUUAACGCCCACCUCUGUUUCUAACCUGUAGGUCGAGGGUUGAGGGCUGACCGUUGACUGGAGGGCUCCGAGUCAGACAGCAUGUGGGCUGCCUUUACAGUCACUGUGUUAGAGCAGUGCGCUGUCCGCGGUGCUGAAACCUGCUGAUGAACGCGGGGAUUCGCUUUCAGCACCAGUGCAAACGGGGAUUUUCUUUAAAUAAAUAAAAUAUAUAUAUAUUAUUUCAAGAUAUCCUGACUAAUGAUGAUGAUGUGAGAAUGGGGAAAUGGCGCAGACAGUGAUGUAGCAGGGUGAGGACGAGUGCGGCUGGCCUGCUAGAGAGUGGAGGGGAAAGGCGUUUCGGAGUUGUUUUAUUGUGUCUGCGAGGGCUGGAGUGGAAUAAAGAAAAGAGAGAGAAAAAACCGAGCCGUUUGCAACACAUGAAAGCAGCACACGUCUCUUACAUGACUUCAAUAAGGUCGCUGAUUCUUAGAUGAUGGUGACAGUGUGGUGAUCUGCAGUUAAACAAAUUUGUCAGGUUUCUUUCUUUUUUUUCGUCUUCUUCCUUUUUUUGUUAAGGGGGGGGCAAAAGAGCGGACUGUGCUACUCUCGAGUCGUGGUGUUAUUCCCGCCCGCUCCACAGCCCCAUACCUCGGCAAAAAGGCGAUGUUUGACUUCAAAUGCCAUAUUUAGGAAAAAUGCUCGGUCGCUUUGAGUGACUGGGGCGAGGACGAAUGGCGUCUUGUGAUCUGGGAAGAGACGCUCGAGCUCAGUGAGGAACGCCUCGGAGCCAAUAGCAUUGGAGGGCUUGUGCACGCAUAAGCGGUGGAUGGAGCUUCUCCGGGUAUACUUCCGCGUCCAAUGCAUGUUCAUGUGUAGGUUGAAUGGAUGAAACGGGGAGUGCGGAGAGGUAUAGGCAUGCUGUGAUACGGCCCUAUAUAUUUGCCGGCAGGACUAUCUUCCUUUUAAAGAGAACCACCUCCGUGCGUUGGCUUCCACUCAGUGAUGUCGCGUAUUUGUGUGGCGCACCUGUAAAGAGCGAGACAGGCAGAAGCCGGCUUUUUUAAUUAUUUGAUUCCUUUUCUUUCUUCUGUUAUCUUUUUUUCCCUUUUGUUUCAUGCAUUUGCUGAAAGGAACUC